AACAUAACCCCUAAUUCAUUUAUCAAAGGUCCUAAACCAAGUUUAUUUUACUUUGUUAGCCGUUAAAUCGAAAACCAUGCACAAAGAUUGCAGUAAAGAUGAAACAUCCCAAAGAUUGGACAACUUAAUAGAAUUACUACACAAUGAUAUGAAUGUCUGUCCAGUGAAAAACAACACAAAUAACAUUAAGGACCUAAAGCUAAAAUGUAGCCAGAUAUCAAGUGAAGUUGAGGACAUUAAUACGAAUUUGCUGAAUAUCAAAGCCUACAAGAUGUUGACAAAGCAAAUGGUGAUAAGAUAUGAGGACAAAUUAAUCACAAGUAAGUAGUGUCAUUUUAUAAUAUUGAAAACAGCAAAUGCAAAGAAAGAAAUUACUUUUCAGUUCCAGCCAAGCAAACAACUCCAUUCCAAUAAGGAUGUUGAUAUUCUUAGAUCUUAAGUUAAUUUAUCACUGACAAAGUAAUGAAUGUAAAUGCAUUUUGAAUAAAAUUAUUUGUCUAAUCUGCAAA